AUUGAACGCUGGCGGCAGGCCUAACACAUGCAAGUCGAACGAGUGGCGGACGGGUGAGGCAGGUAUGUGAAACGGCCCGAAGGACGGGGUCAACUACUGGCAACGGGAGUUAAUACCGCACAUCAUUGGCAUUGCCCUGCUGGGAUUCGCUAGUUGGUGGGGUAAAGGCUCACCUAGGCGACGAUCCCUAGCUGUUCUGAGAGGAUGACCGGCCAUACUGGGACUGAGACACGGUCCAGACUCCUACGGGAGGCAGCAGUGGGGAAUAUUGCUCAAUGGGCGCAAGCCUGAUGCAGCCAUGCCGCGUGUAUGAAGAAGGCCUUCGGGUCGUAAAGUGCUUUCAGCUGGGAGGCGUUACCCGCAGAGGAAGCACCGGCUAACUCCGUGCCAGCCGCCGCGGUAAUAC
rnacentral:rRNA from 1 species